UCUGGCGGUAAAGGCGAGAAGGUCACACCCGUUCCCAUCCCGAACACGGAAGUUAAGCUUCUCAGCGCCGAUGGUAGUUGGGGUGCNAGGCAAUUUGGAGGAUUAGCUCAGCUGGGA
rnacentral:rRNA from 1 species